rnacentral:tRNA from 1 species
UGCUGUGGCUCAGUCGGUAGAGCGUCGCCUUGGUAAGGCGGAGGUCACGGGUUCAAUUCCCGUCAGC